rnacentral:rRNA from 1 species
AUUUGAAAUCUGGCCUCGGCCCGAGUUGUAAUUUGUAGAGGAAGCUUUUGGCACGGCACCGACCGAGUCCCCUGGAACGGGGCGCCAUAGAGGGUGAGAGCCCCGUAUGGUUGGACGCCUAGCCUCUGUAAAGCUCCUUCGACGAGUCGAGUAGUUUGGGAAUGCUGCUCAAAAUGGGAGGUAAAUUUCUUCUAAAGCUAAAUACCGGCCAGAGACCGAUAGCGCACAAGUAGAGUGAUCGAAAGAUGAAAAGCACUUUGAAAAGAGGGUUAAAUAGCACGUGAAAUUGUUGAAAGGGAAGCGCUUGUGACCAGACUUGCGCCCUGUCGAUCAUCCGGGGUUCUCCCCGGUGCACUCGGCAGGGCUCAGGCCAGCAUCGGUUUCCGCGGGGGGACAAAGGUCCCGGGAACGUAGCUCCUCCGGGAGUGUUAUAGCCCGGGGCGUAAUGCCCUCGCGGGGACCGAGGACCGCGCUUCGGCAAGGAUGCUGGCG